rnacentral:rRNA from 1 species
UUGGAACCUUUUACUGGGCUAGAAUGUAUUUUGCUACCUUAAGAAAUUGAGGGUUCCUUCGGGACGGAAUACAGGUAGCUGCAUCGAGCUGUCGUCAGCUCGUGCCGUGAGGUGUUGGGUUAAGUCCUAUAACGAGCGAAACCCUUUUACUUAAUUGCCAGCACGUAAUGGUGGGGACUUUAAGUAGACUGCCCGUGUAAGCGGGAGGAAGGAGAGGACGAGGUCAAGUCAUCAUGGCCUUUAUGCCCAGGGCUACACACGUACUACAAUGGCAUGUACAAAGGGAAGCUACUUGGUAACAGGAUGCAAAUCUCAAAAGCAUGUCUCAGUUCGGAUUGAGGUCUGCAAUUCGACCUCAUGAAGUUGGAAUCGCUAGUAAUCGCGUAUCAGCAAUGACGCGGUGAAUACGUUCUCGGACCUUGUACACACCGCCCAUCAAGCCAUGGGAGUUGGUAGAGCUUGAAGACAGUGGC